rnacentral:rRNA from 1 species
UAUUGGACAAUGGGGGGACCCCUGAUCCAGCGACGCCGCGCGAGUGAAGAAGUAUUUCGGUAUGUAAAGCUCUAUCAGCAGGGAAGAAAGAAAUGACGGUACCUUACUAAGAAGCUCCGGCUAACUACGUUCCAGCAGCCGCGGUAAUACGUAGGGGGCAAGCGUUAUCCGGAUUUACUGGGUGUAAAGGGUGCGUAGACUGCCAUGCAAGUCUGAAGUGAAAGGCGGGGGCCCAACCCCCGGACUGCUUUGGAAACUGUAUGGCUGGAGUGCAGGAGAGGUAAGUGGAAUUCCUAGUGUAGCGGUGAAAUGCGUAGAUAUUAGGAGGAACACCAGUGGCGAAGGCGGCUCACUGGACUGUAACUGACGUUGAGGCUCGAAAGCGUGGGGAGCAAACAGG